rnacentral:lncRNA from 1 species
AUUUCAGUGGAACUAAUAUGGGGAAAUAAAAAUAGUUUGUUACAUUGUGAAUUUCAUUAAAUCAAGGUUCGUUAUAUCAAGCUUUGAC